GGAGGAGUAAUCAAGCCUGGCCAAAGUAAGCAAUUUGCUUUUGGUUCAGGAGUUCGUGGGUUCAAAUCCCACCUCCUCCA
rnacentral:tRNA from 1 species